ACUACGGCGAUAGCUCAGUGGGUAAAGCGCCAGAUCAGAAAUCCGCGUAGGUUCGAAUCCCGCCUGUGGCA